UUCACUGAAAUAAUGAUGUUCUGAAUCAGAUGUUCAACUUCCGUCCUAAAAAACAUCUUUUAAGAAGAAACUUCAUGAGAGAUGCCAAGCCAGAACCACCCACAUAAGCUAUUUCCUAAUUCGUCAUCCACAGAGUCUUGGAGGAAACUGAGGACGAGAGAAGUUCUAAUGCUUGCCAAGUGGAUUCAUCUAAGGAGAAUCAAGUUUCUUACAGAAAGACAGAGGCAAGGAAAUAUUUACUAGUAAAGUGAAACAGACUCUCCUGUCCUGGCAGAGAAAAGACUUUCCAUUAGGAGUAGAGAGAAAAUUCAAUCUAGCUGUGAAUCUCCUCUUUGCAUGUUCAUGGGAAAUAAAAUCUGUUUUGCCCUGGGACAGCCCUCCCCACACCCUGGAGUGAAUUUCCAAAAUUAGGGCAGGACAUUUUCCUUAUGAUAGCUAUUGAAAAAUUACCCAGGAAUGGGGUGCCUCUGCUCCCUCCCAGCCAAGGUACAAAGAUAUUUUCUCAGACUGAAGGCCCUAGGGCCUAUUGUUCAACAUCUCAUGUCAGUGUCAGUAUUAGAUGCUGCAGGAGAAUGAGCUUAAGUCUAGCCCACUCCACUUUUCUUCCACAUUCCUCCAGUUGCUCUCCCCAAAUUCAUUUCCUGUCUCCCUCACCACUGAGAGCUUAGAUUCCUAAAGAAAAAUGUGUGCAAGCCUAGGGGAACGGUAUCUACCAGUCCUUGGAAACAUGUUUUAUUCUACAUAAACAUAAAGGUCAACUAUAACCCCCAGAGUAAAGGGAGUCAGACUCAGAAAAUAAACACUUUGUUCCCUUUCUAGUAUGUUAACAGCUUUGGAUUGUUGACUGCCCCCAAAGGUCACCAGAACUAAGUUUAUUAAACUUAAUGCUGUAAGAGAGAACUCCACCUUAACCUAUUAUGAGGAGCGGAAAGCCAGGAGAAGACAUUUAUUCAUAGUGUUUUAGGGUCUGAGUUGUGUGAUUUUGUGAUGGAUAUUUCAAGACUGAAAUGUAUUGGUACAGCAAAGCCAGGGUCAUGAAAUUAGUCUUACAAAUAAGCUGUUUGGGGUGGUAGGUAAGCUGUUUUAGUCGGUUUACAAUAUUAUUUCUGAAAGCAGUGAUUCCUAGAGCAAAUAGCUAAGUUAUUUUUACUUGUUUUCAGUAUUGUUUAAGCCAGGAAAGUAUGCCUAAUCUCAGAAUUGUUUAACAUAAAGACACAGAAUUACGUUGGUUUCAAUCCUCAUGACAUCGAGGGAAAAAAACCCAAAUUAAUAUCUCAGAAAGUUAUCCUGCCACUGAAGUAUUAGCAAAAGUCCUUCCCAUUCCAUCUAGCCUUUCCGUAAAUGAAACUACUACCACUUUCAGCUUCAAAUUUCUACAAAUACAUUUCUACAAGAUGAACAUGCUAAGGCCUUUUAGUCAAUAUACUGAAGUCAAUAGAAACUGUGUCAAUGAUUCUCUAAAAUACUAUACUAAAGAGAAAAAACUAUGUUUGAAGCAGAAGCCAGAUAGAUAUUUAACUUCUUCCAGCUGUGGUUUCCUUAGUCAAAAUAAUAUUAUCAUUAUUGUGGGCAUUAAAGACAUAAUGCAUAUGUAUUCAGAAUAAUUUUGGGUGAUUUUAAAGUAAUGCAUUUUUUACUUCAGAAAUUAUUAGUUCCAAAUCGUUCCCACAACUCACAGAUAUUAAGUGAUAUCAGAAAGAGAGUUUCUUCUAUAACGAAACAAAAAAUCCCUCAUCCAUUCUGACGGCUCUCCAAGGAGGCUUGCUGCCCCAUGGUAAAAGAAGUUAUGACAUGAAAGAAGAAAAUGAAUCCCAUAUUUUCUAGAAUAAGGGGUUAUAAAGAGGUCAGAAUGAGAGCAAAGAGGUUAGGCACCAGGGUUCUCAUUUAUCCUCUUCUAUUGUGGUUGUUAAAGAUUCUAGAAACAUCCUGAUGAGAAUGGGAGAGUUCAAGAACUCCAGGGCUAAUGGCUGUCUUUCUUGGGUGCACGAGUGACAAAGAUUUCCUCCUUGACCAAAUUUUAGUUAGGCUCCUCUGAGCCUUCUUGACUAAGCCUCUACUUUGGUCUGUCUUUAAUAAGAAUCCUGCUAAUUCAGUUUAGUGAGAAUCCUUCACCCUUGAUAUCUGAUCAAGUUCUUCACUUCUCACCCUUGAUGUCUAAAUCCUUAGCCUGCCUUUAGCAAGAAUCCCUCUGCCCUCUCCUUUUAGUAGUUUUGCAUCCACUGAUGCCUUCAUUGUGCUUGUUGGCUGUAACUUCCAACUCCUGUCUUUAUUGUAUUUGGAGUUGAGCUCAAUUUCUCUUCUUUAUUGCUAAGUCAUGACCCCUCUUACAAUAGUUUUGAAUAAAUCUCACUUACCAUUUUUAACAGUGUCUGAAUAAUUUUUCUUGAAUAUGAAGGGCACAAAAAGCUAAGAAAAUUCUAGAUGCAGCCAUUUCUGCAAUAGUGUGGAAUAAUGAUGGACCAGCAGCAGUAGAAAGUGUUCAACCUCAUGAGCCUAAAGAGAGUUUCCUAUUCCUGUGUCUUGUGUGUGGUGUACUGGGGUUCCAGAAGCUCUCACUUGUCCUUUUAAGGACACAAGAAGAACCAUACAUACCUCAUAGUAACCAUACCCCAUAGUAACCAGUCCAGGGCCACCAUGGACCAGUCACUCUAUAACAGAGAUGGUAAUGGUUCAGAAAUCUUGGCUCAGAUUUGAGACCAACAUAUCCCAUCCCCUCUGAAAUGAAAGGACAGGAAUUGCUUUGUUUAUGUGCAUAUGUUUUGUUCAUGUCUGUAUCUCCAACUUAUUUUUUUGUUUUUAAUACAAUUUAUUUAAUUGUAUGUUUAUAUAAUUAUAUAAUGGCCAGAUUUAACAAUUGGCUUGCACAAUUCCUGAAAUUUUAACAAUCACUUCUUAUGAACCUGAAUAGACCAGCUCCAGCACAGCAAUAGUAGUGAUUUGAACCAGGCGAUGUGAAGUAUACAUGCCCUAAGAAGUAGGAUAUCGCCUCUAUAUUCUAAAUAAUUAAUAGGGCUUGGUAUUCUUUUGACAUCUCAGACAGCACUGCAGUAAGUACCAUGGUCUAUAGCUCUGGUUGUAUAUAAAAAUCUCAGUCAUCCCAGGUUACAAACAAUUGUUUAGCUAACAUAAUAAUAUCUUUCAUUGUGAAGUAUCUUUUUAACCUCAAGAUUUAG
rnacentral:lncRNA from 10 species